UGAGGAAGUGCAGCCUUUGUUGUGCUUUCCCUACCUGGUGGGAGAUGUUUGUGGACCAGGUAAGGUCGGCCAAGAUGUGGACUCGGAGGAACUUGAAGCUCUCCACCCUUUCUACCUCCUCCAUCAAUGUAGAGGGUGGAGUGCUCAGAUGGCUUUGUUCUGCUGAAGUCGAUUAUCAUGUCCUUGGUCUUGGCUGUGUUCAGAUGCAGGUUGUUGUGGUCACACCAUUGCUUCAGAUGCUGAACCUCCUCUCUGUAGCUGAAUCAUCGUUGUUGUCCAUCAGUCCUAUGAUGGUGGUGUCAUCAGCAAAUUUUAUAAUGGUGUUACUGGUGUGGACUGGAGAACAGUCAUGGGUGAAAAGUGAGUAUAAGAGGGGACUGAGGACACACGUUCAGAGUGAGGGUGGAGGAGGUGUGGCUCCCAUCCUGACGUUCUGGGGUGUGUUGCUCAGGAAGUCCAGUAUCCAGCUGCACAGUGAGCUGCUGGGUCCUAAGUUGCUGAGUUUAUGAACCAGUUUGUGGGCUUGAACUGUGUUGAAGGUAAAGUCCACAAGCAGCAUUCUCACGUACGUGUUUCCUACUGUCCAGAUGUGUGAGGGUUGUGUGAAGAGCUGUAAUGAUGGCGUCCUCUGUCCACCUGUUUGCCUUCUACAGACUGUAGCAGUGAGAGGUUGAAGAUGGUGGUGAAACCUCUGCUAGUUGGUCUGCACAUGCUUUAAGCUCUCCACCGGCUGCACCGUCAGCACCAGCUGCUUUCCUCGCAUAGACUCAGUGUGGCUCUGACCUGAUGCUGCUCCAGCUGGAUGGGGGCGUCGUCCCUCUCUGUAACGCAGGAUAGGUGUUGGUGUCACUGUUUUGUUGGUCAAAGCGGGCGAAGAACUGCUUCAUGGUGUCAGGGACAGAGUUCAUGUUCAUGGACAUCAGGAUAAAAACAGAAGAUGGAAACCUGCCAGAUUUGAGCUGCUCAUGUGUCGUCCCUGGGCAGGUCACAUGACUCUAUCCAACACACAAAGACACACAGACACACAAGAAAAGCCAGAGAAACAAAGACAAAUCCAAACAAUCCAUCAUACUGAGUUAAAGUGAUCACA